rnacentral:rRNA from 1 species
UACAGAGGCCCCGAGCGUUACCCGGAAUUACUGGGCGUAAAGAGUGCGUAGGUGGUCAUGUUAGUCGUUCGUCAAAUCUUCCGGCUCAACCGGGAAAACGCGCGCGAAACGGCAUGACUUGAGGGCGUGAGAGGUACAUGGAACUCUAGGUGUAGGGGUGAAAUCCGUUGAUAUCUAGGGGAACACCGAAAGCGAAGGCAGUGUACUGGCGCGUUCCUGACACUCAAGCACGAAAGCGUAGGUAG